UUAUUAAACAAACUAAGCUGACAGAGAGAAAAUGGCGUCUCUUAUUGCGAUUUGUCGAGCACAAGCAACUUUCCUCUUCAUUUCUCCACUCAAUGUUCGUUCUUUCCGCUCUUCUCGCUUCACUUUCACUCACCGCAACAACCAAACCCUAACCCUAAAAAAACCCUUACUGUCAUUAUCUUCUUCUUCUUGUGUUUUUGUUUCUGUCAAUCUCCCUUUCAAAUCCCUAUCCACCUCAGCCAUCGCAAACCAGUUCCAGGGCCCACCACAACCACCACCACCGUCUGAUACCUAUCAUCAGGACGGAAAUGGAAGCCCUAAUCAGUGGAAUGGCCCAAAUCAGACCUAUAAUGAUUAUGGAAACCCUAGUCAGUGGAACACUCAAAACCCGAAUUACCCUCAACCUCCAACAACCAAUCAGAUGAAUAAUAAUCCGAAUCUGGACUAUCCUGGUCGAGGAAACCAUAAUCCGGGUCAGGGAUAUUCGUAUCCCCUGCGCGGAAGCCCUAGUUUUCCUCCUGAUCAGAGCUAUCCUCAGGGUGAAAACCCGAGUCGAAAUGCGAGUUAUCCUCCUCCUGGGAACAAUAGACAGUGGGAUUAUCAAAAUCAGGGUUACCCGCUACGGCAAAAUCCCAACCUAUCCCGGGACUAUCCUCAGGGUGCUUGCCCAAAUCUUGAAAACCCUAAUCAAGCUCAGAACUAUCCACCACAGCGUGGUGUGAAUCAGUUUGAUAGAGCUUAUCCACAACGCGAGAACCCUAAUCAAGCUCAGCACUAUCCGCAGCGUGGUGUUAAUCAGUUUGAGAGUCAGAAUCAAGCUUACCCACAAGGGGUGAGCUCUAAUCAGCAGGAUCAAGCUCACAGGGGAAACGUGAAUCAGUUGACUAAUCAGACUCAAAAUCAAGGUCAGGUCGUGAACAACCAAGUCCCGAGUGGCCCACCCGCUAAUGUUGAUUUGAUGAGUUUGUGCCAAGAGGGCAAGGUGAAAGAAGUUAUUGAAUUUAUGGCACAAGGAGUAUCUGCCAAUGCUCAGUGUUUUGAUGCCCUGUUUGGUUUAUGUGCAAAGUCGAAGGUACUGGACCAUGCGAAGAAAGUGCAUGAUUACUUUCUGCGGUCAACUUUCAGGGGCGAUCUUCAGUUGAAUAAUAAGGUGAUUGAAAUGUACUCAAAAUGUGGAAGUAUGACCGAUGCACGAAGAGUCUUUGAUCACAUGCCCGAGAGGAACAUGGAUUCUUGGCAUUUGAUGAUUAAUGGGUAUGCAGCAAAUGGCAUGGGUGACGAUGGGCUAGGAUUGUUUGAACAGAUGAGGGAGUUGGGUUUGCAACCAAAUGAGCAAACUUUUCUUAGUGUAUUAUCAGCUUGUGCUAGUGCUGAUGCUAUGGAGGAAGGAUUUCUACACUUUGAGUCUAUGAAAACAGAAUACGGAAUGUCUCCUAGAAUCGAGCAUUAUUUGGGGCUUCUCGAUGUUCUUGGUCAUCCUGGGCAUGUCCAUGAGGCUUUUGAAUUCAUUGAGAAUCUUCCAUUUGAGCCCACAGCCGUAAUUUGGGAGGCUUUAAGGAAUUAUGCUCGUAUUCAUGGAGAUAUCGAUCUUGAGGACCAUUCUGAGGAGUUAAUGGUUCUUCUUGACCCUGCGAAGGCGAUUCCUAACAAGAUCCCUACACGACCUCCCAGAAAGCAGUCGGCGAUCAACAUGCUUGAGGGUAAAAACAGGAUAAGCAAGUUUAGAAACCCAACUCUGUAUAGGGAUGAAGAGAAGUUGUUGGCAGCAAAGAAGGAACAAAGGUAUGUGCCUGAUACAAGAUUUGUACUUCAUGAUAUUGACCAGGAGGCGAAGGAACAGGCGUUGCUCUAUGACAGUGAGCGUUUGGCGAUUGCUUAUGGUUUGAUUAGUACUCCGGCUAGGAUGCCUCUGAGGAUAAUCAAGAAUCUCCGUGUGUGCGGUGACUGUCACAAUGCCAUCAAGAUCAUGUCCAGGAUUGUUGGGAGGGAGUUGAUCGUUAGGGAUAACAAACGGUUCCAUCAUUUCAAGGAUGGGAAAUGCUCUUGUGGAGACUACUGGUGAGGUUACCGUUGGUCCGGAAUUUUGGUGAUAUUAUCUUCCCAUCUGCAGGGGACUCGUUAUCCAUAUCAUCAAAUCAGAUGGAUUACUUGAUGGGAUGCCAUUUCAGAAUUUGGAAAAUGAUCAGGUUCUGUUCGUUUGCCUUAAACAGUUCCAUCAUUUGAAGGAUGGAAAAUGCUCUUGUGGAUACUACUGGUGGUGACUGCUGUUUCAAAUUUGGUCAAGAGUUAAUCCUGUUGUCAAGGCAACCUAAGAGAGAAAACGGGAUGACAAACACAGGAAGAAAAAAAAAUGGGGACCUGAACCUGCUGUUGGAGUACAAGGAUAUGAGCAACACAAUCGUAAACGGGAUCUUGCAUCCGAGCCAGUGCUUCAUACGAGAUUGAGGUAGCCGCUUCGCUUCGAUUGUCUUGAGGAAGGUAUGCCAACAGUUUGUGCACCGCCGCGAAGUGGGCUGCAGCCUCAUCAUAGCAGAAAUAAGGAGCAAAAACACACUCACUUGUGCACCUUCUCCUCAAGAAUUUACAUGCUCCACAUGAAGUGCCAACCCCUGUCAUUGUCCAAGUCUUUUGCUUUCUUCUCCCUCAAAAGUAAGUCACCAAAACAAACUCUUUCGCUUGGUUUUGAUUGUUUAUUUCAUGUUUCUUUAGAUUAUUAACUUUUUAUAGCCACCACUUGAAAGGUUUUUCAUUUUGGGUAUUCAAGACUUCAAGCUCUUCAAUUAAUGGAUAAGUUACUCUAUUUUUUUUUAUUUUUU